rnacentral:lncRNA from 1 species
AGCUAGCCCUUGUGUCAAAGUAACGCGAUAUAAUAAAUAAGUUGUUGCAAUCACACCUACAUCUGAAAUGUAGAUUUGUAGCCUUUCGCGAUUUGAAUAUAUUGGGCUAUAUGGAUCAUAAUGACAUGCAAAACGGUCAUAUUUUUUGCCUGAGAUAUUGAAAAUCAAGUAUAAAGGCCAUGCAAAAGUUAGAGUGAAGGCAAGUACGAGUACUAGUCCUAGUGGAUUGUUCAAGUAUUUGUAGUACCAUCUUAGUUUUGACUUAAGUCUUGGUAUGUAAAUUUCAUCAUUCUCAAGGGAACCUGUGUUUGCAUGGUGACGACGAUGACUAUGUUUCCAUGCAAAGUAUGGCGUUAGAAGAGCUGAGUGGAGGAUAAGACCAACAAUGUCAUCUACCCAUUGGUAAUCACUAAAGCCAUGGUGACCACAUUCAUGGCCAAUGACCCAUAUUCCGGUGCAAACACAACCUUGAGCAAUCCAAUAAGUGGUCCAUGCUACAUACCUAUAUGGGGUUGGAAUGAGGUGAAUGUAAGUGUUGGCGAUGUAAUAAAAGAUGUAGACGAGUAUCAGAUCCUGGAUAAGAAACGAAAAUGAUUUUACAAGAGAUCGUUCGAAGCAAUGGGGAGGGAUGGCCUUCUUUACAUCACCAAGUGUAAAAGGAGGCUUUGAAGAUGGCACUCUUUCGAGAGGAUUUUUCUUCUGUUCGUUUUUACUUGUCAUAGCAGACAUAUUACCACCACCUCCCAUUUUCGUCUUCCUCCCUCUUUGAUUCUGAAUAUGCAAUCAUUAUAAAAAAGUAUAUCACUAUUUAUAAAUAAUUAAAAGGUAUAUGAUUUUUUUCUUAUAGAUGCUAAAUUAAAAAGAGAAUAAUUAUUUUAUAAUUACUGUACAUAUUCUAAAUAUAAAAGAAAAGUAAUUGUUUUUUAAAAUAUCUUAAACUAAAAAAAGUAAAUAUUCUACUGUAUUAGGAAGUGGAGAUCAUAUAAUAUAGAAGAAAAGUAUAUUUUAACAAAUUACAAAGAAAUUAUACCUCAAAAUUGAGAAGAGACCUUUUAGUCUCCCACUGAAAUUAGAAAAGGGAAGUGUUAAUCUGUGAGUGAAGAAUAUAGUUUGUGUGUAUAUAUAAUGCCCUAUAUGUGGGAGCUAGUAGCCAGCCUAGUAUGACUAUUGGAAAAACAAAAUAUCUACUUUCUUCACAACUACAAUUUGCUUUAGUC